rnacentral:lncRNA from 1 species
CCAACAUGGAUCUUCGGACGGAGAUCUCCUGAAUUAUGUUUAGAGGCUGUGCUCUCGUGAGCACUUUUAGAAGGACCCAGACGAUCCUUUACCGAAACACGAGGCAGUGACGAGCUAACAGCCAUCGCCUGCCCUUCUGGCGUACCAUCCCUACUUCUCAUCAUCUUCCGAAGUAGGUUAAACAAUUGUGAUUGAAAAUUUUAAUGACACUAGAACUAAAAGCCCUCCUUCUAGUGCCAAUGUUAACGCCAAGAUCUUCUGCCACGUCCCAAUCACGUAAGACGCCCUGAUCCUGCACAGUAAACACGAUAAACACCACAAGCUUGACGGCUGUUCCGUCGGGGGAUAGCUCAAGCGCGAGAGUCAGUAUACGUGUUCACAAGGUUAACAAUGGAGGAUGAAAUGCCUAGUGUAUUGAGAGAGAUCAUAAUUCUUAGUCGUGUGUAUGUUGUUAUCGAUGUGAAUCUUAAC